CAGACACCAAGUGACCUGACUGAACCCUCUGGAGACCAUGAAUGGAAUGAUCGACACACUUCAUCCUUACAACAGACACCAAGUGUUCCGAUCCUGAUGAAACCUUUUGAAGAUCAAGAAAGGAGUGGAAGAUCCACUUCUUCCUUACAACAGACACCAAGUGACCUGACUGAACCCUCUGGAGACCAUGAAUGGAAUGAGAGAUAAAUUCUCAAAAUUCUCAAAUUUUCAAAAUUCUCAUUAUUUCCUGGAAUAUCUUAUUUUGAUUAUUUUAUUUUUCCAUUUUUAAUAAAUGCCUUCUUUUACAGGUGGGAAUAAGAGACGCACGUGGACAGAUUAUCAAUUGAAGGCUGUUGAGCGACAUAUGUUUGAUUUCAUAACAAGCCAUAAAGUUUCAGGUAAAACGAGCUGUGAGUCCUGUCUCCACGCAGAGCCAGCAGCUCUGAACGACAGAGGCUGGGUGUCCAUCAAAAACUACAUCCACAACAGGAUAUAACUGCAUUAAAAAGGGAAAUGAAUGGCUAGUCCAUUGAAAUGCGAGCACGUCUGGGUACAUUUCAGUUCAAGUUAACUAAAGCAAUAGCAAUGGUGCAUUUAGGGUGGGAUGGUCAAUUAUGGAUUUCAUAUUUGUUGUUGGAUACUGUGUUUCACGUUUGUUGUUUCAUGAUCUUCAAGAGCAAUUUGGAAAAUCCUUGAAGAUGUAUGAACAUGUAAAUUAUACUGUAUAUCAGGCAUGUCCCGAUCUGGGCCUGGAGGGCCACUGUCGUGCCUGUUUUCCAGCUCUCCCGGCUGCAUCACACCUGUUUCAGAUGAUCAGUUCAUCAGUCAGCUCUGAUGCAGCAUUAGAACAUCCUGGGAGAGCUGGAAAACAAAAAGACAGCGGCCCUUGAGGACCGACUUUGGACACUCCUGCUGUAUAUAAACGUACGUACGAUAUACAAACUUCUCACAAAAGAUAGGCUUAUUAGGUUUGAGGUGAUAUUUCGGAAAAACCCUAAAACAUUUGAAUUCAUCCUAUUUCAAGAAUUUCAAUACUUUUUGAAAAGUUGCUUUUGUCUAACGGUAGCUAAAGAAGUUGCUACACACAUGGCACAAUAUAUGGCCAGAUUCAUUAAAAAUUCUUCAUCGCAGUUUUCACAUUUUGACAUAAUCUUCUUCAGUU